rnacentral:rRNA from 1 species
UGACGUCAAAUCAGCACGGCCCUUAUGUCCAGGGCUACACACGUGUUACAAUGGCCGAGUACAAAGGGCGAGCUACCGGGGUGACCGGAUGCUAAUCUCUAAAGCUGGUCUCAGUUCGGAUCGAAGUCUGCAACCCGACUUCGUGAAGCUGGAAUUCGCUAGUAAUCGCGCAUCAGCCAUGGCGCGGUGAAUACGUUCCCGGGCCCU